AUUGAACGCUGGCGGAAUGCUUUACACAUGCAAGUCGAACGGCAGCACGGACUUCGGUCUGGUGGCGAGUGGCGAACGGGUGAGUAAUGUAUCGGAACGUGCCCAGUCGUGGGGGAUAACGUAGUGAAAAUUACGCUAAUACCGCAUACGAUCUAUGGAUGAAAGCGGGGGAUCGCAAGACCUCGCGCGAUUGGAGCGGCCGAUAUCAGAUUAGGUAGUUGGUGGGGUAAAGGCCCACCAAGCCAACGAUCUGUAGCUGGUCUGAGAGGACGACACGCCACACUGGAACUGAGACACGGUCCAGACUCCUACGGGCGGCAGCAGUGGGGAAUUUUGGACAAUUGGCGAAAGCCUGAUCCAGCCAUUCCGCGUGCAGGAUGAAGGCCCUCGGGUUGUAAACUGCUUUUGUACAGGAAGAAAAGGUUUCUACUAAUACUAGGAGCUCAUGACGGUACUGUAAGAAUAAGCACCGGCUAACUACGUGCCAGCAGCCGCCGUAA
rnacentral:rRNA from 1 species